AUUGAACGCUGGCGGCAGGCCUAACACAUGCAAGUCGAGCGGAUGAAGGGAGCUUGCUCCUGGAUUCAGCGGCGGACGGGUGAGUAAUGCCUAGGAAUCUGCCUGGUAGUGGGGGAUAACGUCCGGAAACGGGCGCUAAUACCGCAUACGUCCUGAGGGAGAAAGUGGGGGAUCUUCGGACCUCACGCUAUCAGAUGAGCCUAGGUCGGAUUAGCUAGUUGGUGGGGUAAAGGCCUACCAAGGCGACGAUCCGUAACUGGUCUGAGAGGAUGAUCAGUCACACUGGAACUGAGACACGGGCCAGACUCCUAAGGGAGGGAGCAGGGGGGAAUAUUGGACAAUGGGGGAAAGCCUGAUCCAGCCAUGCCGCGGGUGUGAAGAAGGUCUUCGGAUUGUAAAGCACUUUUAGUUGGGAGGAAGGGCAGUAAGUUAAUACCUUGCUGUUUUGACGGUACCAACAGAAUAAGCACCGGCUAACUUCGUG
rnacentral:rRNA from 1 species